UCCAAAGAAAAACACAACCUCUCAUGGUUUCUUCUGAUGGUUGUCAUUGGAUGAGUCCAUCCCUCAUGGUUUUCUCCAUGUUGACCAAGGUGCAGCAAGCUUCUCAACCCAACUGUAGGAAGCCACCCUCAUGUGGUAAAGAGGCCUAAUGCAUUGGCUGUCUAGGCUCAUGGCAAGUUUUGGUGGAGCACCUUCUCAUGAGCAACACGCAUAAGUUUGCUGUCUACCAAACUUUUCUAUUAGAACCUAAGCAAGCCACUGAACACAGGAGCAGUAGAUGAAUGUAUGGAAUACUAAUUCCUACGAAGACCUUGGUCAUCUCGUGUGUUUGAUUCAGUGGCCCAGUGGCAUUAAGUGUUAGCACCUGAUCCAGACUGAAUUCCUUUAUAAUACUCUCGUCAUUAGGAUAUACUUUGCAUAACUACUUUCCUAUCCUUUCUGUCUUUUCACUUAUUUUGUGAUCUUGAUCUCCAGAAGAAAGAUAGGAUUCAUAGUUGAACCAGUUAAGAUCAUUGCUUGAGUGGUUUAUUUUAAACCAUAAAGCUACAGUUGAGAAGUAUGUAGCUGUAGCCUUUUGAUAAGAAUGCAUUAAAUAUAGCAUCACACAUGAGUACCACAAAUGAGGUUAGUAGACUAGCUAUGCAAUGGCCCACAUUCAGUGUAAUGUUUUAGUGUCAUUUAGUGCCUCUUAAGUUGCUGUUAUCUGUUGAUCAGUUGCUGUAGUAGGAAAUAAUACUUUUUUAACAAAUGACCCUACCUUUGCUAGUGCUAGGAUAUUUGUAAAAGCCUAAGGGCUUCUUAAAUAUAACAUUUUGGUCUAUUUGGUCUAACCUUAGAAAGAUUAGUAGUUUAUAAUAAAAUAUAUUUGUUCCUGUCAAAACUAGAAUGAACUGGGUUUUCUCCCAAGGACUGAUGAUUCUACUUUGGAUAGAUGAAUUGAUAUUUUCAGUGCAUUCAAAAAUUAUUACUCUGUAGAAAAGCACCCAUUACCACAGGAAAAUGCACUCUUUGGAACUAGCCCGAUAAAUAUCUCCUUUCGUCAUUGUUUUUGAGGCUAAGAUUGAUGGGUGCAUUGUUUAUGCAUUUUAACUGGCCAUCUUAUUUAUAUUUCAGAUUUGAUAAUCUAGGCUGCUAAGUGAUCUCAUCCAUUUUUAAAAAAAACUGGUAGAGUCCAGUGUUUUCUCAGCUAGUCCCUAAGGAAGUUUCUGCUGCAGCGUGGUCCUUUCUUCAAGGUGUGUGGGAUUCAAGGUGGAAAAGAGUAUAGCUGGUAAUGGUGCCUCGGUCAUUCUGCUCAGGGACCUGCCUGUUCCUGCCUUCCUCUCUUCCCUUCCACAGACUAUCUCAGAUAUUUAACUGUGAACUUCUUAUCCUUGCCUAACUCUUGAGGAUUUCCAAGCUUUGGUUGGGGGAUGGAGCAGACAGGAAAAUGGUUGUUCCUUGGUUUAAAUUUUGUCAUUGAUUUACUAAUAACUUUUAGCACUUGUUUGGAUCUUCUUAGAUCUGGAUGCUUACUUUCUUUUUUAGUGCCUUACAUACAAUGCUAAAAACUAGGGAUACUGAAAGGGAAAUGGGUUACAGCAUUCUUGAAUAUAUUCAAAAGGCAUUUUUCACUUACAUUUCUAUCAAAAAGUGAUGUGACUUGUAGCAGUUUUAACUUCAAGUUGGUGGCAAGGGAGGAAGAUUUAUUUAUUUAUUUAUUUAUUUAUUUAUUUAUUUAUUUAUUUAUUUUAAGGAAGGGGGCAAUAAAGAACUGGAGUGCUGAAACAUCUCACACAGCAAACGUUCUGCUAGUGGGUACUAUGAAUCUCUGAUAUCUGAAAGCCCAAAUAUAUUUGAUUUGAAUCCAUUCUAGAGUUCUUUAAUUGAUUGACUGCUCUACCACCUAUGGAGUUUGUCUCAUGUACUUAAAGUACACCUCUGUGCACCAUCUUAUUUCAGGUUUGUCUUGUGUCACUGACUACAUUUGUAAGCCCCUUGAGGGUAAGGAUUGUCUACUGUAGUAAUCCUUUUCUCCUCAGCGCCUAGCACAGUGCUUUGGCAUCUUUGCUGCUUGGUUAAUUGAUCUAGUCAGGUCCUUCUUUGUUUUGGCUUAAACAACAGAAAAUUAUUUCUCACAGUUCUGGAGGCUAGAAAUCCAAUAUCAGGGUACAGGUUUGGUUUCUUUUGAGGCCCCUCUGCUUGGCUUGUGGAUGGCCGUCCUCCUGUGUUCUCACGUGAUUCGGGUCUUUUUUUUUUUUUUAACCAAGUUUUUCUAGUUAACUGCAUUAGUGUUUUCAUCAGCUGUUACAGGUGAAAUACAAUUUGGUAUGAAAAAGGAAAGAGUUCCAGGUGUAUGUUUUAGUAUGCAAAUACUUUUCUAUUUUUAUAUUUACAUGUCAAUGACUUGCUGUCUGAAUUGCUUAUUAUAUUUGAAAUUUAACUGUUGUAUGACCUAAGACUGUUUAGAGAUUUGAAAACCAAACUACAGGGAAUUGCACUAAUAUUCUGAAAUGCAAGGUAAAGAUAUUAGUGAGGUUUUUUUUACUUUUUAACUGAAACAGAAUAUAUCUUUUUAAUUUAGGAAGCACCUUAUGAAUUGGAAACAACUUUUUUCUAAAAUGAUUAUAAUGGAACAUAAAAAUAUUCUCCCAGUGAUGCAUCAUUUGAUUCAAACCGCCAUGUAACUAACUACUGGGGUAUUAUAAGAUUCACUUAAUUCAAACAUAUAUUCAUUUAAUGCACUUUGCAAGUAUUCUUCUGGAAUAGCAUAUGACAAGAAACUGUAUUUGCCCCCAUUACCUUGGGGACAUACACCCAGGGAUACUAACUGAUGGCUAAAAAAGUGGCAUGCAAUUUUGAGAGAGAUUGUUGUUUCUCCAUGUAGACAAGGAGAGAUAUUUGUAGAAGUGAUGCAGCAUUUUACCAGAUUUAUCACUGAACAAUUUAGUCUAGCUGACUUGAUUUAUCUUUCUGUUGAAUUUAACUAGCGGAAUAACUUAUCAGUAUUGGACAGUUGUGUAAAAGUAGUGAAUUACUCAUUAGCUUGCUGGUAAAGAUGGUGCUGUGACAGUUCAAUUAAGGUUUCAUUAACAACUGUCUGCUGUAUUUUAUCUCAAAAUAAGAGUUCCAGUUUACCUGGUAAUGUGAUUGUGGGAUAGCCUGAGAUAAUAUUUGUUGCCACUGAUAGAAUGUUGUUUAUGGGUUAUCAAGAUAUCAUAUAUAAUUUGACCUUCUGUUUGAGACAUUACAGCCUCCAAACACCCACAUGGACAUUUUCAUAAUGCAAAAACAAAACACAAAGCAACCCACAAAUAGUAACUUCAGUCAUUUGGUGAGUAAUAUAAAUCUACUUUUUGUCUGCAGUUCACAUUUGCCAGAGGAAAAUGCUGUGGUUAAAGAUGUAACAACUUUGGGACGAAGAGUUUCAGGGGCUCAUAAUUUUGAGAGAUGGAGGAAGUUGACUGCAUGAGAGUGGUUUGAGGAUCGCUAUGCCUAGACCGUUUUUGACAUUGACAACUUAACAUAUCAGAGAUGGAAUUAAUGGCACAUAUUGCCAUGUUGGUAAAAGUUGAGAAUCUGUAGUACUGAGAAGUUUCUCCACUAUCAGCCGAGAUUAACAGCCACAGCUGGAUUCUUUGGGGGCUCUGCUUUGUGAAAAGAGCUUUGAAGAAGCAGAGCCUGCACCAUAAAAAGGAAACGGUUGCUCUUCUAGACAUAACAAAGCAUCCGUAUGAAACUAGAAAUGUGGAAAUCUGUAUUGUUAAUUUUAACUACAAACGAACUUACUUUUGGAAAUUACAGGUUCAUGAUCAUAAAGUAGAUAAAACAAAGAGUAGAGAAUAAAAGUAACAAUCUGAUGAUUCUGCACCCACUUCUUGGUGGUUGAAACUCUAUAGCCUAUAACAUUGAAAGUCAUUUUGUACUUAGACUCCUGAAAAGAUUAUCCAAAUUAUGUUCAAAAAACCACAGCACAAAAAAUAAACUUGUUUUAUUCUUGGGGAGAAA